AUAUCAUUAAGCGGAGGAAAAGAAACUAACAGGGAUUGCCUUAGUAACGGCGAGUGAAGAGGGAACAGCUCAAGAUUGAAACCUGGUCCUCUCCGGGUCACUGAUGUGAUUUGUAGAGGACGCCUGAGCUGCCGCCCCUGCCUAGGCUUCUCGCUAUAGGACGAGGUAUCGUGUGAGAAGACAAUCCCGGAUCUGAGUCCUCGCUCGCUGUAUGUUAUCUCACCGACUCGGAGUCUACGAGAAUGCGACUCCUGAUCGGAGGUAGAUUUCAUCUUCAGCUAAAUAUUGGUCCCAGACCGAUAGCGCACAAGUAGAGUGAUCGAAAGAUGAAAAGCACUUUGUAUAGAGAGUGAAACAGUCACGUGAAAUAGUUGAAAGGGAAGCUCUCGCAACCAUACUUGAGAGCGGCCGAUCGUCCGGUGUACUCAGACGGAGCAUCUCGACAGUGCUCAUGACCCGCAUCGGAUUUGAGAGCGGUGAUAAAGGUCCCUACGGAAUGUAGCUCCUACUCAGGGAGUCGUUAUAGCAUAUCAGAGCAAGGCAGGCUGCCGGGGCCGAGGCACGCGCUUCCUCUACGAUGCUGACGUAAUGGUUGUCAGCGA
rnacentral:rRNA from 1 species